GCACUGCCGACGAGUCCAAAACAGGACGAAACAGCUGUCACGUGC
rnacentral:hammerhead_ribozyme from 1 species